rnacentral:piRNA from 1 species
UCGGAGUGGCGUUUUGUUGAC